ensembl:lncRNA
CACAUGCUAAGGUGAAGCAAAGCAGAUAUCAUGAACACUUCUGCUUUUUCUUUCUUUAUAUUACAGCAUUGUAUCUAGGCUUCUAAUCAAAGGGACUGGAGAAACAUGGGUGUCAGAGAGAUCCAAACAUGUUAAUUAAUAUUCCAAAGACUGGAGAAGGAAGGGGCAAAAGCAGAUGUUUCACUGUGCAGAGAAGAACCAGGACGAGGAAAUCAGGCUCCUGAACUUGAGCAUCUUUUCUUUCAACAGGAAAUGUAACAAAAGCUUUUAUCACGCCUGACUGGAUGUAACCCAAAUAAUAAAUUCAGGGGAGAUCACUCUUCUUCUCCAGCAGCCAUCUUCUAACUAUUGCAUUUGUGGAGAGUAACCACAUCUCCUCUCAGCUUUUGGUUUUCUUGGAUGAGAAUAACAAAUUGUCAUCUGCAUUUCAUCAGAAUGGCACAGAGAUUAAUAAAAGCUCCAUAGAGUAAUGCUGAUUACAUCACUUUGCUUUCUGUUAGCAAUAGCAUUUGAGUGCAUGCAUAUGUAUAAAGUCAGAAAAGAGAGAACGAUGAGACAAAUGAUUUGACUGUUAAACUAAAGCAUCUGGUAAAUGAAAUUGCAAAAUGACCUAAAGCUAAUUCUUCAGAGUCAACUUCUUUUACCUGACAUUUCAAUUCUUCUCUUCAAAUGUAAAUAUCCAGUAAGUUUUAUAAAGCGUUUCUGUUUUUUGAGUGAACUUUAUUUAUUCAUUUCAGGGCAAGACUAAUUGUUCAGUGCAAUGAUGAUAUUACUCUCUGUUGCUAAAUACUUGGCAAAGGGAGUUGAGAAUGCCCAGACCAAGGACUGAGAAAAUAUUUUGAAUCAUUAUUUUGGAAAUCAGCCAUAAGACCAGAAAUUGGGGAAAAUACUGGUAACUGAAUCUAAUUUGGAGAGAAUAACAUUCAGACAAAUUGAAAAUAAAUAAAUAAACAAACACUUAUGUAUAAAUUAGUAAUGAAUUGGUGGACAAAAAUACUUUCCUGCAGGUACAUUUCACCUCUCACAAAGAAUACUUAGCAAGCUAUACCUGGGAUUUUUUCAGCCAAAAUUAUUCUAAUUUUGAGAGUAAAUAAAAACAAAAGUCACAAACCAAUACUCUCUUUAAGCAAUGACAUUCAUCCACAAAAAGUAGCUUCUGGAUAUUGCUUAGCACACAUAGGUAGCAGGAAGAAUUUCACGGUCUGAGGAUUUAAAGAGCCUCCUUACAGUUCAGAUCUUCAGAAUGAAAAACACCUCCAUAAGGACCCAAGAGCAUUUACCAAAUUAUGGUCAGUACUAAUGGAUUUCAACGCAGAAAUCUGUCAGUUGGAGAGGAUGUGUCUUCACAUUCUGCCUCGUUGGGUUAGAG